UACGUAGGGGGCAAGCGUUGUCCGGAAUCAUUGGGCGUAAAGAGCGUGUAGGCGGCUCGGUAAGUCCGGUGUGAAAGUCACAGGCUCAACCUGUGAAUGCCGCUGGAAACUGUCUGGCUAGAGUCCGGAAGGGGCGAGUGGAAUUCCUGGUGUAGCGGUGAAAUGCGCAGAUAUCAGGAGGAACACCAAUGGCGAAGGCAGCUCGCUGGAACGGUACUGACGCUGAGGCGCGAAAGCGUGGGGAGCGAACAGG
rnacentral:rRNA from 1 species